UCAAAGAUUAAGCCAUGCAUGUCUAAGUAUAAGCAAUUAUACCGUGAAACUGCGAAUGGCUCAUUAAAUCAGUUAUCGUUUAUUUGAUAGUACCUUACUACUUGGAUAACCGUGGUAAUUCUAGAGCUAAUACAUGCUUAAAACCCCGACUUCGGGAGGGGUGUAUUUAUUAGAUAAAAAACCAACGCCUUCGGGGCUUCUUGGUGAUUCAUGAUAACUUUUCGGAUCGCAUGGCCUUGCGCCGGCGACGGUUCAUUCAAAUUUCUGCCCUAUCAACUUUCGAUGGUAAGUUAGUGGCUUACCAUGGUUUCAACGGGUAACGGGGAAUUAGGGUUCGAUUCCGGAGAGCGAGCCUGAGAAACGGCUAGCACAUCCAAGGAAGGCAGCAGGNNCGCAAAUUACCCAAUCCNAAUACGGGGAGGUAGUGACAAUAAAUACUGAUACAGGGCUCUUUUGGGUCUUGUAAUUGGAAUGAGUACAAUUUAAACCUCUUAACGAGGAACAAUUGGAGGGCAAGUCUGGUG
rnacentral:rRNA from 1 species